rnacentral:rRNA from 1 species
CAGUCGCCACGGGAAUACGAAGGGUGCAAGCGUUAAUCGGAAUUACUGGGCGUAAAGCGCACGUAGGCGGCUUGGUAAGUUAGAGGUGAAAGCCUGGAGCUCAACUCCAGAAUUGCCUUUAAGACUGCCGAGCUAGCAGGUGAGAGAGGUAGGUGGAAUUCCGAGUGUAGAGGUGAAAUUCGUAGAUAUUCGGAAGAACACCAGUGGCGAAGGCGGCUUACUGGCUCAUACUGGACGCUGAGGUGCGAAAGCGUGGGGAGCAAACAGGAUUAGAUACCCCUGUAGUCCCUGUCUCUUAUAC